rnacentral:rRNA from 1 species
AGGAUUAACGCUGGCGGCGUGCAUGAAACAUGCAAGUCGAGCGCGGUGUGAUGCGGGGUAACCCAAUUCACAUCUAGCGGCGAACGGGUGAGUAACACGUGAGCAACCUACCUUUGAGUUGGGGAUAGCCCUGGGAAACCAGGAUUAAUACCCGAUGUGGUCACAACAGGACAUCCUGAUGUGAGUAAAGGCGCAAGCCGCUCAAUGACGGGCUCGCGGCCUAUUAGCUUGUUGGUGGGGUAACGGCCUACCAAGGCGAUGAUGGGUAGCUGGUCUGAGAGGACGAUCAGCCACACUGGGACUGAGACACGGCCCAGACUCCUACGGGAGGCAGCAGUUAGGAAUUUUCCGCAAUGGGCGAAAGCCUGACGGAGCAACGCCGCGUGAGUGAUGAAGACCUUAGGGUUGUAAAGCUCUGUCGGAGGGAAGAACACAAUGACGGUACCCUCCAAGAAAGCCCCGGCUAACUACGCGCCAGCAGCCGCGGUAA